UCCGUAGGUGAACCUGCGGAAGGAUCAUUAAUGAAUUCACUCAUGAAGCUGAUGCUGGUCUCUCGGGACAUGUGCACGCUUCAUAAGUACAUUCAACCACUUGUGCACUUUUGAUAGAUUCGCAGAGUUGCCCUCUCAGGUCAGUAAAUGACUUGGUUGGUCAGGAUUGUCACAGUCCUGGCUUUGACUUUGUGGGUCUAUUAUCUUAUACACACUUGUAUGUCCAUGAAUGUUAUUUUCUUGGGCCAUGUGCCUAUAAAACCUAAUACAACUUUCAACAACGGAUCUCUUGGCUCUCGCAUCGAUGAAGAACGCAGCGAAAUGCGAUAAGUAAUGUGAAUUGCAGAAUUCAGUGAAUCAUCGAAUCUUUGAACGCACCUUGCGCCCCUUGGUAUUCCGAGGGGCAUGCCUGUUUGAGUGUCAUUAAAUUCUCAAAUCUAUAGAGCUUUUUUGUGAUAUAGAUUUGGAUUGUUGGGGGCUGCUGGCUUUUUACCAAGUUGGCUCCUCUUAAAUGCAUUAGCGGGACUUUAUUGCCUCUGCGCACAGUGUGAUAAUUAUCUACGCUGGCCGACAUGCAAUGACUUUACAAGUCCAGCUUUCUAACUGUCUUUCAAGACAAUGACUUGACAAUUUGACCUCAAAUCAGGUAGGACUACCCGCUGAACUUAAGCAUAUCAAUAAGCGGAGGA
rnacentral:rRNA from 1 species